UACAGAGGUCUCAAGCGUUGUUCGGAUUCAUUGGGCGUAAAGGGUGCGUAGGCGGCGCGGUAAGUCGGGUGUGAAAUCUCGGGGCUUAACUCCGAAACUGCAUUUGAUACUGCGGUGCUUGAGGACUGGAGAGGAGACUGGAAUUUACGGUGUAGCGGUGAAAUGCGUAGAUAUCGUAAGGAAGACCAGUGGCGAAGGCGGCUCACUGGCCCGGUACUGACGCUGAGGCGCGAAAGCGUGGGGAGCAAACAGG
rnacentral:rRNA from 1 species